GUAGGGGUUCUGAGAGGAAGGUCCCCCACAUUGGAACUGAGACACGGUCCAAACUCCUACGGGAGGCAGCAGUGAGGAAUAUUGGUCAAUGGACGAGAGUCUGAACCAGCCAAGUAGCGUGCAGGAAGACGGCCCUAUGGGUUGUAAACUGCUUUUAUAAGGGAAUAAAGUGAGUCUCGUGAGACUUUUUGCAUGUACCUUAUGAAUAAGGACCGGCUAAUUCCGUGCCAGCAGCCGCGGUAAUACGGAAGGUCCGGGCGUUAUCCGGAUUUAUUGGGUUUAAAGGGAGCGUAGGCCGGAGAUUAAGCGUGUUGUGAAAUGUAGAUGCUCAACAUCUGAACUGCAGCGCGAACUGGUUUCCUUGAGUACGCACAAAGUGGGCGGAAUUCGUGGUGUAGCGGUGAAAUGCUUAGAUAUCACGAAGAACUCCGAUUGCGAAGGCAGCUCACUGGAGCGCAACUGACGCUGAAGCUCGAAAGUGCGGGUAUCGAACAGGAUUAGAUACCCUGGUAGUCCGCACGGUAAACGAU
rnacentral:rRNA from 1 species